UCUCAGUUCGGACUGGAGUCUGCAACCCGACUCCACGAAGCUGGAUUCGCUAGUAAUCGCGCAUCAGCCACGGCGCGGUGAAUACGUUCCCGGGCCUUGUACACACCGCCCGUCAAGCCAUGGGAGCCGGGGGUACCUGAAGUGCGUAACCGCGAGGAGCGCCCUAGGGUAAAACUGGUGACUGGGGCUAAGUCGUAACAAGGUACC
rnacentral:rRNA from 1 species